GGGAACUUUUUACACAGUGAGCUGUUUGCUAAAAUUAGCACAACUUUCUACAGGAUUUCGGCUAAUUCAAACACGCCUUAACAAAAAGGAGUCAUGUAACGAAAAACUGGCAGAAGAAAACAAUUGAAAAUGACAUCUGAAUUGUAAUCAACAAGAUGUUAACCUCUUUUAGACAUGUCAAUAUAUAUCGCGCAAUCUUGGUUUGAACUGUCAAGUGAACAGAUAACUUAGGCCAUACCGCCAUUGUGGAACCAGUUUAACAAGUUCCUACAAUUGGAAGGCCCCUUCUCCUUGACAAGAUCAUGCGUAUUCAAUCACCGUCUUGAUCUUCUGACACUUUGGCCUUCUCCUAGCCUUGAUUUUG
rnacentral:misc_RNA from 1 species